UAUUGAAUGCUCGGGAAGUUAUGGAGAGAAAGGAGACGAUCCCAGUGAUUAAUGCCAAAGCCCUGUUGCCUGUGGAGAGGGUGAUGUUUGACUUUCUUGUACAGCUGCAGUUUGUGUGGUGAAGGUGCUCCCACAAUGUGGUUGGAUCCCAGUGAUUAAUGCCAAAGCCCCAUUGCCUGUGGAGAGGGUGAUGUUU